UCCUACGGGAGGCAGCAGUCGGGAAUAUUGCCCAAUGGUCGCAAGACUGAGGCAGCAACGCCGCGUGCGCGAUGAAGGCCUUCGGGUCGUAAAGCGCUUUUCAGUGGGAUGAGGAAGGACAGUACCACCGGAAUAAGGUACGGCUAACUACGUGCCAGCAGCCGCGGUAAAACGUAGGUACCGAGCGUUAUCCGGAUUUACUGGGCGUAAAGCGUGUUCAGGCGGUCUAGCAAGUCGGGCAUGAAAUCUCUGGGCUCAACCCGGAGGGGUUGUCCGAAACUGCUGGGCUUGAGGGCAGCAGAGGGUGGUGGAAUUCCGGGUGUAGUGGUGAAAUGCGUAGAUAUCCGGAGGAACACCAGUGGCGAAGGCGGCCACCUGGGCUGUACCUGACGCUCAAACACGAAAGCUAGGGGAGCGAACGGGAUUAGAAACCCCGGUAGUCCUAGCCGUAAACGAUGUUGACUAGGUGUCGACGGUCUAAACCCCGCCGGUGCCGGAGCUAACGCACGAAGUCAACCGCCUGGGGACUACGGCCGCAAGGUUAAAACUCAAAGGAAUUGACGGGGACCCGCACAAGCAGCGGAGCGUGUGGUUUAAUUCGAGGCUACGCGCAGAACCUUACCAGGGAUUGACAUGGCGGUGGUAGUGAAGCGAAAGCGGAACGACCCUUCGGGGAGCCGUCACAGGUGAUGCAUGGCUGUCGUCAGCUCGUGCCGUGAGGUGUUUGGUUAAGUCCACUAACGAGCGCAACCCUUAGCCUCAGUUAUACGUGUCUGAGGCGACUGCCGGUAUUAAGCCGGAGGAAGGUGGGGAUGACGUCAAGUCCGCGUGUCCUUUAUAUCCUGGGCUACACACACGCUACAAUGGCCAGUACAAUGGGUCGCCAAGCCGCGAGGCGGAGCCAAUCCUAAAAAGCUGGUCUCAGUUCGGAUUGCAGGCUGCAACCCGCCUGCAUGAAGUCGGAGUUGCUAGUAACCGCAGGACAGCUAUACUGCGGUGAAUACGUUCCCGGGCCUUGUACACACCGCAUCGGA
rnacentral:rRNA from 1 species